rnacentral:tRNA from 1 species
GUGGCGUUACUCGUCUAGUGACGAGGGCUGACUGUGACUCAGCGGAGGCGGGUGCGAUUCCCGUACGCUACC